rnacentral:lncRNA from 1 species
CCUAACCCUAGUCGCUGCAGAUUCACACGGCCUCCUGGCACGCCCAUGUGCCUCCUUCAACCACAUUUUUGAUGCAUAAGCUUCUCCCUCUUACGUUUGUUUACUCUUUUAUCUCAAUCUUCUUCAAUUAUUUUGCUUCUUUCAUGAUUUCUAUGCUCCAUUUGACUAUUUUACGUGCACAUUCAUAGUUAGAAUAGUAGAUAAAUUUAUGUUUUUAAGUUUUGUUUUGGU